UCGUAAUUUACUAUUGAUUACUUUACUAUUGAUUACUAUCUAUUAGUUAAAAUAAAAAUUCCAUCAAAUAUAUUGCUAAAAAACAACAGACUCGUAACCAAAUAACAAAGGUGAAUUUUACUGCACAUUAGGUAUCAUUUGACGGCAUUUCAAUUUUAGAUAGGUACUGAAUUAUUUUUAAUCAUUUAUGAAUUAUUUUUAAUCAUUUAUUUUAAGUACCUUUAUGCCUUUAAUUCGAGGUAGACUCAUUUAAAAAAAAAUGUUAACGUAUUUUAGACAUCUUCUAUACAUUAGCCUAGCGUUUUUCAAAAUCGGAGUUGGCAACACUGACGCCGAAGUGAUUUGUCAACGCGUCUUGUGUUAAUUUUUUUGCGGUUAUCUAUCACAUCACAGAUCUAACAACUUACAAGUUCAAUGGAGUAAGUGAUCGAAUCUUUAAAAACAUGGGAGUUGGAGAACUUAAUACGAAAAUUCACCAGGUUCACGCCGCGUCGCCUAAUCCUCGCGCCGGUCGCCAGCAUUCCCCGCUGUGUUCCGGUAACCUACAGGCGGCAAGCUGACGCUGCCGUCAUCCACACGACACCAUCUCUGAGGCGGCUGACGUGGCAGUCGUGGUGGUCUGAGGCGGCUGACGUAGCACGUUUGAGACCCUGAUGGAUUUUUCUGAGUUUAACAUAAGCACAGACCUAAUAGUUAUAGAAACUUCAGAAAAGGAAAACUUGUCCUCGGAAAAGGAAAAUGUGCCAUCUGCAAUUGCUGAGAAGAAAGCAGAGCCCAGUUAUAAUUCCAGGAUUGUGGAAAAGUCAUUGGACUCUGCAUCACUAUUUUGAAAAUAUUCUGCUCUCAAAAAACCACAAGGAUAUUCUUUGCGGCUUAACGACUUCAAAAGCACAUGAAAUUUACUAGGACAAUUUGUUUAUAAAUUUUCCAUCAAUGAAAAUAAAUCUUCAGGAACAGCUGAAAUACAAAAAGUCGAACUUACUGCACUUACCAAUUCGCCCUAUGAGGAAACAACGAAUAUAGCCGGAUUUCUCACCAUUCUAUUUUUGCUGAACACUGCGGCAGUCCGCCAAAAGAAGAAGCGAGGUUCCGGUGCAAGUCAAAAUUGGAAGCCCAGUAAAAUGGAAGUAAGGGAAGGUUUCAUAAAGCAUAUCCGCUCUAGUGUAGAAAUUAGCCAGACCAUCGAACUUCGCAUAGCCACACUUCAAAAAAUAGGAUUGUCAUGCCAGCCAUACAUAAUUGUUGUGGGUGAGUCUCUUGAAAAAAUCGAAUCAUUUCUAGUUGUUGUCAGCAGAUCGAUAAUCUAUGAAAGACAGUCCAUUAUGAACGCAGUAGAUACGUGCUACAAAAUAUAUAAUACAAUGAAAAUAUAAUACAU